rnacentral:tRNA from 1 species
GCAGAAGUGGCGGAAUUGGCAGACGCGUUAGUCUCAGAAGCUAAUGAAUGUAUAGUUCGUGAGGGUUCAAGUCCCUUCUUCUGCA